rnacentral:rRNA from 1 species
GAUGAACGCUGGCGGCGUGCUUAAUACAUGCAAGUCGAACGGAGGUAUGUAGCAAUACGUAUCUUAGUGGCGAACGGGUGAGUAACACGUUGGUGACCUACCCCAGAGAGGGGGAUAACAGCUCGAAAGGGCUGCUAAUACCGCAUGAGAUCCACCUAGUUAGAGAGGGUGGAUGAAAGGAGUAAUCCGCUUUGGGGAGGGACCUGCGUCCCAUCAGCUAGUUGGUAGGGUAACGGCCUACCAAGGCGACGACGGGUAGGGGGCCUGAGAGGGUCGGCCCCCCACACUGGAACUGAAACACGGUCCAGACACCUACGGGUGGCAG